UUCUUCAGGGCAGGGUGCAAGUCCCUACCGGUGGUAUAGCCCACGAGCCGUAAGGCAUGAUUCGGUGUAACUCCGAAGCCGACAGUAUAGUCUGGAUGAAAGAAGAA
rnacentral:ncRNA from 1 species